CUGGAAUCGAACCGCCAACCCUUUGAGUAGUGGGUUAGCGGACAACCUGCUCUACCACCUGAGCCACUGCCGAGCCACAUGAGCUAAAAAGGCUGUGAAGAAUUGUCUUUAUUUUUUAGCCUUUUUAGGUAUUAUGGUCAAUCACGAGAGUCAAUUUUGCGCAACCACAUGCAGGAUAGCCUGUGCUUAUGCUUAUGUGCACAACUUGCUUUCAUAGACUUUCGAGUGAAUAAAAGAUAAAAACCCUCUUAUUUUCCAGAAAUAAAUUUUGCCAGUUUAAAGUGGAAUUCCAUCCCCCCUUGAAAUGCACUCACAGACUCAGUCCCCCGGUGUCCUCCAUAUUUCCAGCCCUGUGUAUACUAAAUACAACAGGCCUUUAUGGUUAGGAUUUUAAAUAAUAUUGGUAAAGAAGACUAUCGUUGAUUAACCUUGAAAAUGACAUUAAUAGAAAUUUUUGCUUCUGAAAAUGGUGUAUUCAGAAAUACAGAAAAGGAUUUGUUCAGUUGACAGAAAUAUAUGCAGUCUUUUGCUUGCGUUUCAAAUUCCUUGAGAUAUUAAUAAAUGUUCAUCAUGCCUCGUUCAUUUAAAAAGUUCCAGACUGCCAGUCAUCAUCAACACAUUAACAAGUCAGUCCUUGAAGAGGCAGAAAAUUGGAUUACAGUAUUGGUUUUAUAAGAGGUUCUCCAUGUAAUCAUUCAUGAAUGCUAAGAAUUUCAGUUAAUUUUAGUAGGUGGAUGUGUUUCUCAAGAAAUUAUAAUGAUGUAGUGGAUCUGAAUAUUAAAGUAUUGAGUAUAUGAGCAGGGAUAUUAUAUUCCUUCAUUCAUCUUCACUAACUGCUUUAUUUUUAGUCAGGAUGCAGUGGAUCUGGAGCCUAUCCCACGCAAAAUUCAAACAGACAGUAACCUGAGCUCAGGACUGAACCUGGGACCCUGUAGCUGUGAAGCAGCAACACCGCCCAUGGAUAUUAUAUAUUAAAAUAUUAGUUAAUGAAAGGGGGUUGAGUUGUCAACACUGUUUCCUGUUAAGGGCCCUGAUAAACUAAAAUACAAAAUAAUGUACGCUAAUAUGUAUAUGGAAAGGAAUACAAUGUGUGUGUGUAUGCUGUGGGUGAUUUACAAAUAAUUAUUGUGUGAAUUACAUUAUAUACAAAGUAAAGGAAAGAAGCAAAUAUAAAUUUGGCAAGGUCUGUUGGCAUUAGAUAUGAGCAUGUGUAAUGAAUAUCUAAUUAGAAACUUCCGCUGUCUCUGUAAUAUUUAGUCAUCAUUUCAUUAAACCCUGAUCAUUUUGAGAUACUAAGGCACAAUCUUAAUAAAUCUUCUCGGUUUUAAAAUUGAAUGAUAUUAUAUGUUCUUCAACAAGCAGAAACUGAUAUAAAAUGUAACAUAAUACCUGCAAAUAUAAUACCUCAGUUGACUAAUUCGCACAAACAAUCGUUGUUACAAAGUGACUUUCAGGCUUCAGUAAAUCGCACUGUACUAAAUUAAUCUACUUUUAUUGACUCCACUUUAUUUUACGCUAUUAGGUAGAAAUGACACCAAUUGCAUAUUUGGUGAGGCAAACAUACCAAAGGGGAAGAGACAAUAUUUUGCUCCUCUGAAAGAUGCAGUCCACCAUUGACACUGUAAAUUAGCUUUAUUUUUUGUGGGUUUUAUAAAGUUUACCACAUUUUUACUCAUAUAAACCUUUAGUAUAUUAGGACCAAGACAUGUGAUUGUAUACAUUUUGGCUUUGUUCUUAUACACCUUAGCCUAGAUUGAUUAGAUUAGAUUGAUAGACUGAUUCUCAUAGUAAGAAAACUCACAUACACAUCAGCCUGCUUUAAAAAUACGCAUCCUUGUUUAACCAAGGUUCUCUCACUCUGCUAUCAGUACAAGCUCUUAGUCUUGGCCCUGGUGGACCUGUAGCCACCUCAUGCUUCAUUGCCCUUGCUCUCCACCUUUCCUAAACCUCUUAAUAUGUCACACAGAGGUGGACCCCAGUCACCAUGUAAUUGAAUUCUUCUAUGUUUGUGCUAUCACACCAAAGCAGAGCAGUGGAAAACACAAGAAAACAGACACCUGCUCUCCUCAUCAAACAAUAAAUAUAGACUUGAGAUCUGUUUGGGACAAGCAGAGAUUUAGCAAAGCACACUUAUUGGAAAAGCAGGUUACAAAGGUUGUGUAAUUCCUCACACAUUUCCUCACAUAUUCCUAAAUUGCCAUGUUUUAAUAGAAAUCUGGAACAAAAUUUUUUUUUAAACUAAUCUUCGUGCCAAAAUAAUUUUUUGGGGGGUAUUGAAGUGUUCUUGUCAGUUAAAGAUAACAGUCCAUUUAGUUCCUGUUUGGAGGACCACAGUCAGAGUCAUGCAUUGCGUCUUUGGAUGACGUCUCUUUGUCUUCGUCCUCCUACCCAUCACUUCCCUACUUGUCCAAUUUGGCCAAUGUUGCUUAGUGACGGCGCUCCAUGUGGCCACUUGCUGUGUGGCUUAGAAUCACAUCCGAGUUGCACCUACCAGUCUCUAGAUCUCCGAUAAGGAGCACAGAAAGAAGCUGGCUGUAAUUUAUCUAAGGCUAUUUUGUGAUUCAGAUAUACUAUUCUGGAUGCAGCCAAGCGGUAAAUUGCUUUCCUCUGGGAGCAGGUCGCAUUGUGGGGUCGACAAAGCAGAGCUAUUUUUCUCUCUACCACUACCCUGUUUUAUCUGUCUCCAUCUCACUCUCUGACUAUCGCUGUCUGUCUCCCCCCUCCCUCUUCCUUCCAAACUGUUGAGCUGGAGAGUGGUUCUAUAAGCAGUCAUCACAGUGGCUGCAAUUAGGGGCGAUAAUUGCAGGCAUAGAACAGCAGGUCACAGGGAUACAGUGAGCUCUGAAAGGUCAAAAUGAUGCAAGCCAUGAGAGGGAGACAAACAUUUUUCUGAAGAGUCAGCUGUAAAAGUAAAGUGGAAAAAACAUAUAUAGAAAAGCUACAUACACUAAGGGACUUUCACAUAAGCAGUAUUUAGUUCUUUUGAAUUAAAAGCUUGGUUUGUUUGUGCGGGUGUGAACAGCAAUCAGACUCAGGUAUGGAAUGAAACAAGAAGAGACCUCUUGAAAAAUAUGGUCUUGGUCUUGUUCAAGAAGAAACUUAGUGUGGUUUAACUGUAAUGAGAAUAUGUUACAUUCUGUGAUGUUUUUUCACUCACCAUGGAUAUAAAGAGUGGCUAUAUGUGUUACCCUAGCCUUCCUGUCAGUUUGAACCAGUCUCUUAAACAAGACAUUUCUCCCUGCAGAACCUCUCAUUAAAAAGGCAUUUCUGAACUGCCACUCACUGGAUGUUUUUUGUCUUUCACCCCAUUUUGUGUAAACUCUAGAGACUUUUGUGUGUAAAAAUCCCAGGAGAUCUGCAGUUUCUGAAAUGCUG
ensembl:lncRNA